GAGUGGAACAAAAUACUGGACGAUGAACUGAGCUAUAAUUUUUCUUUUGGACAAAAUAAGCUAUCAUUGAUACCCAUAAUGUAAAAGAAUGCUAAUCACAGGGUCCCAGGCCAAUGAAGCAUUAUGCAGAGCCGCAUGGCAUACGGGAGUUGGAAGCAUACUGAGAGUACGUUCCUGCAUGGGAAACAAUAUUACAUGACUCCCGCUUUCUGUUUCAGGACUUAAUGGCUCACCCUCUUCAUGAAGACGAAUAUGUCACAUGAGCUGCUGUAAGUUGUUACUUAUUAAAACGCAGGUCAUGAAGAUUGAAAAAGAAAUGAAUAGAUUCAUAUUAUAUUGAGGACGUAAAGGUGGAUGAAUUAGGAAACGACAACAACAUUGCUCCAAUUAGUGGCAGAGACUUACUUUGGUGAAUGCAGACUUCAUAAAUUAGCGCAUAAAGGGGAAUCACUUCCUUAGAUGUGAUGGAAUGGAAACAGCUUCUUGCCAUCGUGGAAUCUCUCAAUGGAAGGUCAAGGAAUCCACGAGGCUUACAGUAUGGCUUCUCUAUUACGGCAGAGUCUACGCUGAUUGUUCUCUAUUGCAGCCAACACAU